rnacentral:rRNA from 1 species
UACAGAGGGGGCAAGCGUUGUUCGGAAUUACUGGGCGUAAAGGGCGCGUAGGCGGCCUGCUAAGUCGAACGUGAAAUCCCUGGGCUCAACCCAGGAACUGCGUCCGAUACUGGUUGGCUUGAAUCCGGGAGAGGGAUGCGGAAUUCCAGGUGUAGCGGUGAAAUGCGUAGAUAUCUGGAGGAACACCGGUGGCGAAGGCGGCAUCCUGGACCGGCAUUGACGCUGAGACGCGAAAGCGUGGGGAGCGAACGGG